rnacentral:rRNA from 1 species
UGAGGAAUCUUGGUCAAUGGGCGUGAGCCUGAACCAGCCAAGUAGCGUGCAGGAAGACGGCCCUAUGGGUUGUAAACUGCUUUUAUGCGGGGAUAAAGGAGUCCACGUGUGGAUUUUUGCAGGUACCGCAUGAAUAAGGACCGGCUAAUUCCGUGCCAGCAGCCGCGGUAAUACGGAAGGUCCGGGCGUGAUCCUGAUUUAUUGGGUUUAAAGGGAGCGUAGGCCGCGUUUUAAGCGUGUUGAGAAAUGUAGGCGCCCAACGUCUGCAUCGAAGCGCGAACUGGGACGAUUGAGUACGCGCAACGUUGGAGGAAUUCGUCGUGGAGCGGUGAAAUGCUGAGAUAUGACGGGGAGCUCCGAUUGCGAAGGCAGCUGACGGGAGCGGAACUGACGCUUAAGCUCGAAGGAGCGGGUAUCAAACAGG